UUUAAUUUUUAUUUGUCCUUAUACCACUACUGACUCCAGUGAAAAAUGCUGGCAGGCGCUGACCACAGGAGAGCUAACCACAAUAACCCCCACCUGAACCGCAGGAGAGCCUCUGAGAGGAGGGCCUGUGCCUUUAAGGCUGAGGAGGUCAGAGAGAGGACAUGACCGGGGUUGGCCCUUGAGCCCUCCCCUGUUCUUGAACGUAUGUUCUGCCCACAGUUCCACAGUGGGAGCCAUUUUCAAGGAUGCGGCCUUGAGUGAGCAAUGUGUUGCUGAGACCAUCUGGACUGAAUAUGUGACUGAACCCAGGGAAGGCCUCUGCAUAGACUGUUAAGAUUCUGGCAGGCAGAUGCAGAGAUCCACUUGUCUUACGGCCGCCCAGGACAAGCCUCGUAUACUACCUCCCACCUUGGAUGUGAACCUGAGGCCCGGGAUGGGGUGGGGAGCCUGCCACUCUUGCCGGCAACCGUUAAGACAAGCAUGAAGAUAAAAUCCAGGAAGCUAAGCAUGGAAGAGGGAAAGCAGACAGAGCCAGGAGCCCUGGGGCAUUGGUGAGCAGCCAGACUGCCCACGCUGGACCUCUGAUUAUCAAAGGGAUGAAUCUCUAUCCUGUGAAGAGCAUAGCUGCUGAUCAUCCCAAAACUGGAGCCAUCUUAAUGUGAACAACAGCUUUCCUCCCCGUAAUGCCCGUGCCAGCCAUUGAGCCACCCAGGAGGAUCUGGGGAGCCCCAAGUCUCCAAAGCAGAAACAAAAGGGAAGACUUGUCCGAGAUUACCUUAGUAAUAAGCAGCUAAUUAUAAUAUUAAUUUGCAUAAUACCCUCCCUUUUAGCAGUGAUUUCACUGCGAAAACCAAGUGGUAUUAAUGAAAAAAAAAUUGUUUCCAGCUGCCUAAGCCCAGAGGCUAAUCCAGGAAUUGAUGCCCUUGCAACAAUGACCAUAAGAUCUCCUUGUGGGCAGAGCCUCUGAAGGCCUGUUUGGGCAGCUAACCCUUCUUUUGAGCGCUCUUUUUUACCUUCAGUGGUUGAGACUGAGGUCUUAAAACUGCUCCUGCCAAUGACAACCAAAGUUACCUGCCAGAGCAGAAAGAAACAAAAGAAAAGGAAAAUCUUAAAUUAUGCGUUCCCUUCUUUAGAAUGGGCCUGUGGUUGGGGGCUGGCAUAUGGGCAUCAGUGGAUGAAACUGGAGAAGGUGGAAGUGUUCAUGUGAAAAAAAAUGGUUCAACAAUUUCUUAUAAAGUUAAACCCUAUGACUCAGCAAAUCUACUCCUGGGUAUGUACCUAUGAGAAAUGAAGCAUAUGUUCACCAAAAGACUUGUAAAAGAAUGUUUGGAGCACUUUAUUUUUCAUAGCCUCAAACUGAAAACAAACCGAAUGUCCAUUACCAGGAGGGUGGAAGAACAUACUGUGGAAUAUUUACGUAAUAAACUAAUAAAAUACAGACAUACACAACUUGGAUGAGCUUUGAAAACAUUAUAUUGAGUGAAAGAAUUCAGAUGCAAAAUAAUUCAUACUGUAUGAUUCCAUUUGCGUGAAGCUCCAGAACAUUCAAGGCUAAUCUAUGGUCAUAGAAAUUAGAACAGUGGUUGCCUCUCGGCAGUGGUGGUAGGAUUGACUGGAAGGGGCAUGAGGGAAAUUUCUGUGGUGCUGGAAAAUUUUAUAUAUCUUGACCAGUGUUAUGGUUACAUGGAUAUAUACGUUUGUUGAAACUCAGCAAAUAGACACUUAAAGCCUAUGCAUUUUAUUGUAUGUAAAUUAUCUCAAAUUGGAAAGAGAAAAAAAUUAAAAUUUUUAUAUUGUUCAUGUUCCUAACUGAUUAAUGUGGCAGCAGUUGGCUCAUUAGCAGAUUGUUGCAGUGUGGAAAAAUUUUGUUCUCAACCCAAUGGUUUGUUUAACUGUGCUCACUGGCAACUCUUAAUCCAUCAAAAGGAUUUUAAGAUCCUAAUAAUUAGUUUUAGCACUGCAAGAGGACAGACAGACACAAUUCACCUUUUUGCCAGGAUUGACAGAUGCUAUUUUGAUAAGCACAGGAACCAUCAGUUCAACUAACCAGCCGUUAGACCAAAGUUGAGUUUAGGUGAGUGGAACCUUCUAAUUUGUUGAGAGUUGACAGGCUGACAGUAAUACACAAACUUUUUCUUGACUCUUCUUCUGUACUAUUUCUACAUCUAAAAUGAUGGCAGACUUAAAUGUGUCUCCACUACACUGUGUGUUUUGCUUCUGCAAGUCACGUCUGGUAGGAACUACCCAGGGCGUUUGGUCCCACCUUGAGCAGAUAUGGUCAGCUAGUCAUCCUCUUAGAGGCAUGAGAAUUAAGGAAAUCCAGGAAUACAAAAGUAGAGGUGUCAGCAAGCUCCAGCUGUGUUUAAAUUCCAGGUUUGUGAGUCUGUGAGUCUCUGGAACCUAAGAGGAGACCUGAAGAUACACACUUAUUCUGUGGACAUGACUGUAACACGAGAGUGGUUUCUCUUUAACACUUAAAAAUGUUUCCAUUUCCUUAUUUAAUAUUUGGCUACAUUUGUCACAGAAAUAAAGUUAUAUAUUUGGAAACUGUAUUGGGCUCUGUAAGAUUUGCUAGGUUAUUUUCUUUUCUGUUUAUUUCAUAAAACCAUUCAUUAGUCUGUUCAGGAGUUCCAUUUGGAAUUGCAGGUGUGAGUUGAAAGCCAGACAUAAACUAAAUUACAGCAUAUACAAAAUGGAUGCCUUACAAGUGGAAAAUGCAUAUUUUCAGCUGACCUGCUCUUCAAGUAACAAUAUGUGAGAGCAAAAUAUUUAGUGUAGACUAUGUAAUAGCCAUCUUCUUAUUUUUAUAAAGCUCCAAAAUUGUAAUCAAAGAGCAUGGAUGAGUUUGAGUAGCAGAGAAAGAGGAAAGGAAGGAAAAUUUGAUCUAGAAGGCAGUUCAUUGAGAAAUAGGUGGGAAGCUUGUGGCAUCUCAGAUGAGCUGUCCUUGCUGGGGUAGAUGGGAGGGUGGGGAGGGAGGAAGUGAAGACAUAGGAGG